rnacentral:misc_RNA from 1 species
GAUGAAGAACGCAGCGAAAUGCGAUACGUAAUGUGAAUUGCAGAAUUCAGUGAAUCAUCGAGUCUUUGAACGCACAUUGCGCCCCCUGGUAUUCCGGGGGGCAUGCCUGUCCGAGCGUCAUUGCUGCCCUCAAGCACGGCUUGUGUGUUGGGCCUCCGUCCUCCUCCCGGGGGACGGGCCCGAAAGGCAGCGGCGGCACCGCGUCCGGUCCUCGAGCGUAUGGGGCUUCGUCACCCGCUCUUGUAGGCCCGGCCGGCACUUGUCGACACAUCAAUCUUUUUUCCAGGUUGACCUCGGAUCAGGUAGGGAUACCCGCUGAACUUAAGCAUAUCAAUAAGCGGAGGA